rnacentral:rRNA from 1 species
ACUACGGGAGGCAGCAGUGAGGAAUCUUGGACCAUGGGGGGAACCCUGAUCCAGCGACGCCGCGUGAGUGAAGCAGUAUUUCGGUAUGUAAAGCUCUAUCAGCAGGGAAGAAAAUGACGGUACCUGACUAAGAAGCCCAGGCUAACUACGUGACAGCAGCCGCGGUAAUACGUAGGGGGCAAGGGUUCGCCGGAUUUACUGGGUGUAAAGGGAGCGUAGACGGUGCAGCAAGUCUGAUGUGAAAGGUCGGGGCCCAACCCCGGGACUGCAUUGGAAACUGUUGAACUGGAGUACAGGGGAGGGAAGCGGAAUGCCUAGUGUAGCGGGGAAAUGCGUAGAUAUUAGGAGGAACACCAGUGGCGAAGGCGGCUUGCUGGACUGUAACUGACACUGAGGCUCGAAAGCGUGGGGAGCAAACAGGAUUAGAUACCCGAGUAGUC